rnacentral:rRNA from 1 species
GACGAACGCUGGCGGCGGGCUUAACACAUGCAAGUCGAACGGCGUGGCGAACGGGUGAGUAACACGUGGGUGAACUGCCCUGCACUUCGGGAUAAGCCUGGGAAACUGGGUCUAAUACCGGAUAGUGUGGGAUGGGACAGCGGCAUAUGAGCUUGUUGGUUGGGUAAUGGCCUACCAAGGCGGCGACGGGUCGCCGGCCUGGGAGGGUGGACGGCCACCGUGGGCCUGAGACACGGCCCAGAGUCCUACGGGAGGCAGCAGGGGGGAAUAUUGCACAAUGAGCGGAAGCCUGAUGCAGCGACGCCGCGUGGGGGAUGACGGCCUUCUGGUUGUAAACUCCUUUCACCAUCGACGCGGUAGAUGGAGAAGAAGCACCGGCUAACUACGUGCCAGCAGCCGCGGUAAUUC